UACGGGAGGGUGCAAGCGUUAUCCGGAUUCACUGGGUUUAAAGGGUGCGUAGGUGGGAAUGUAAGUCAGUGGUGAAAUCUCCGUGCUUAACAUGGAAACUGCCAUUGAUACUGAUGUUUCUUGAAUCUUCCGGAGGUCAGCGGAAUAUGUCAUGUAGCGGUGAAAUGCUUAGAUAUGACAUAGAACACCAAUUGCGAAGGCAGCUGACUACAGGGGCAUUGACACUGAGGCAACGGAAAGCGUGGGGGAUCAAACAGG
rnacentral:rRNA from 1 species